rnacentral:misc_RNA from 1 species
GAAAUGCCAAAAAUUAUAUAAAAGAUAUAUUUCCCUAUUCUAAACUAAUGUAAUAUAUUAACACAUGCAAGACAAGUUAAUUUGUCAAGCCUAAAUGGUUGUGCUGUUCCACGAAAACGGUAAGUAGACACAAAUACGAGGAUAGUUGGUUAGUGCUAGAGAAAGGUUGCUGCCAAAUUUAAGGUCUGUAGUGUGCCAGGUUCAAAAUGUCAGCUGCUUUUUAAACUUGACUAUCGUUUUACUAUUUAUUUUUGGCAAGAUUAAUUAUUGGAGGACUUAGCUCGUUUUGAUUUGGAAAUUUCUAUUAAUUAUUAAAA